GGGUCAAUGAUGAGACCUCAUACUGUCUAAAAGAGAGAUGAUGGCUUAAAAAUCAUGCUCAGUAGUUUUACAUUGAGGCCU
ensembl:snoRNA SNORD115 Small nucleolar RNA SNORD115